rnacentral:rRNA from 1 species
AGUUGAUCCUGCUAGACCGGAUUGCUAUCAGGAUGGGACUAAGCCAUGCAAGUCAAAUAUUUUUUCAUGCCUGAAAUAUUGGCGGAUCGCUCAGUAGCACGUAGUUAAUCUACCCUGCAGAGGGGUAUACCCACGGGAAACUGUGGCUAAUUCCCCAUAGGCCACGCGGACUGGAAUGUUGCGUGACUCAAAGGCUCGUUCUAGGCUAUGAGCGAACGAGCGCUACAGGAUGAGACUGCGGCAGAUUAUGGUCGUUGGUGGGGUAACGGCCCACCAAGCCUGUGAUCUGUGCGGGCUGUGGGAGCAGGAGCCCGGAGAUGGGAACUGAGACAACGUCCCAAGCCCUACGGGGUGCAGCAGGCGCGAAAACUCCGCAAUGCACGCAAGUGCGACGGGGCCAUCCUGAGUGCCUUCGGGCUUUUCAUCAGUUUAAGACGCUGAUGGAAUAAGGGGAGGGCAAGGCUGGUGCCAGCAGCCGCGGUAAAACCAGCUCCUCAAGUGAUCCGGGACAUUACUGGGCCUAAAGCGUCCGUAGCCGGAUCUGCAAGUCUUCGGUUAAAUCCGACAGCUCAACUGCCGGCCUGCUGAAGAUACUACAGACCUUGGAGGCGGAAGAGGUCGAGGGUACUCCUCGGGUAGGGGUGAAAUCCGAUAAUCCGAGGGGGACCACCAGUGGCGAAGGCGCUCGACUGGGACGCGCUCGACGGUGAUGGACGAAAGCCAGGGGAGCGAACCGGAUUAGAUACCCGGGUAGUCCUGUGCUGUAAACGAUGCGGGCUAGGUGUUGGCCCAGCCACGAGCUGGGUCAGUGCCGAAGGGAAGCCGUUAAGCCCGCCGCCUGGGGAGUACGGUCGCAAGGCUGAAACUUAAAGGAAUUGGCGGGGGAGCACCACAAGGGGUGAAGUCUGCGGUUUAAUUGGACCCAACGCCGGGAAGCUUACCAGGGGCGACAGCUGUAUGAAGGUCAGGCUGAUGACCUUACCAGACUCGCUGAGAGGCGGUGCAUGGCCGUCGCCAGUUCGUGCCGUGAGGUGUCCUGUUAAGUCAGGCAACGAACGAAACCCAAACUCACAGUUGUGAGCAGAUCCCUUCGGGGAUGCUGGGCACUCUGUGGGGACCGCCAUCGCUAAGAUGGAUGAAGGUUUGGGCCACGGCAGGUCAGUAUGCCCCGAAUCCCCUGGGCCACACGCGGACUGCAAAGGCGAGGACAAUGGGUUGCUACAUCGAAAGGUGACGCUAAUCCCGAAACCUCGUCGUAGUUAGGAUUGCGGGUUGCAACUCACCCGCAUGAAUAUGGAAUCCCUAGUAACCGUGUGUCACCAUCGCACGGUGAAUACGUCCCUGCUCCUUGCACACACCGCCCGUCACUGCAUCUGAGUGGGGUCUGGGUGAGGCACGGUCUUGUUGGCCGUCUCGAAUCUAGGCUCUGCAAGGAGGCAGAAGUCGUAACAAGGUA